rnacentral:rRNA from 1 species
GGGAGGUGUCAGACGAAUUUUGAUCCGCAGAUUUCUGAAUGGGGAAACCCAAUCAAUUUAUUGAUUAUUGCAUAUUGAAUACAUAGAUAUGCAAGGCAAACCUGGUGAACUGAAAUAUCUCAGUAGCUAGAGGAAAGGAAAUCAAAAGAGACUCCGUUAGUAGUGACGAGCGAACACGGACCAGGCCAGUGGUUUAUAAUUAAAAAUUAGAAUACUUUGGAAAGAGUAGCCAUAGAUGGUGAUAGCCCAGUAUAAGUAAAAAAAUUAUAAAUCCUUGAGUAGGACGGGACACGUGGAAUCCUGUUUGAAGAUGGGGGGACCAUCCUCCAAGCCUAAGUACUCCUUAACGACCGAUAGUGGACAAGUACCGUGAGGGAAAGGUGAAAAGAACCCCGGGAGGGGAGUGAAAUAGACCUGAAAUCGAAUGCUUACAACCAGUUGGAGCCUUAUACUUAUCUUUGUGAGUAAUCUCAACCUAUAUUUGUAAGGUGACAGCGUACCUUUUUCAUCCAAGUCCGCCCCCGCUUA